rnacentral:rRNA from 1 species
GCCCUGACUGCUAUCGGAUUGAUACUAAGCCAUGUGAGUCACUGCAGUAAUGCAAGGCAGACGGCUCAGUAACACGUAGUCAACCUAACCUAUGGACGGGGAUAACCUCGGGAAACUGAGGAUAAUACCCGAUAGAUCAUUAUGCCUGGAAUGGCUUAUGGUCCAAAUGAUUCGUUGCCAUAGGAUGGGACUGCGGCCUAUCAGCUUGUUGGUGAGGUAGUGGCCCACCAAGGCUAUUACAGGUACGGGCUCUGAGAGGAGAAGCCCGGAGAUGGGUACUGAGACACGGACCCAGGUCCUAUGGGGCGCAGCAGGCGAGAAACCUUUGCAAUGUGCGCAAGCACGACAAGGUUAAUCCGAGUGAUUCCUGCUAAAGGAAUCUUUUGUUAGUUGUAAAACCACUGAUGAAUAAGGGGUGGGCAAGUUCUGGUGUCAGCCGCCGCGGUAAAACCAGCACCUCAAGUGGUCAGGAGGAUUAUUGGGCCUAAAGCAUCCGUAGCCUGUCCUGUAAGUUUCCGGUUAAAUCCAUUUGCUCAACAAAUGGGCUGCCGAAAAUACUGCAGGACUAGGGAGUGGGAGAGGUAGACGGUACUCGGUAGGAAGGGGUAAAAUCCUUUGAUCUAUUGAUGACCACCUGUGGCGAAGGCGGUCUACCAGAACACGUUCGACGGUGAGGGGAUGAAAGCUGGGGGAGCAAACCGGAUUAGAUACCCGGGGUAGUCCCAGCUGUAAACGAUGCAGACUCGGUGAUGCCCUGGCUUGUGGCCAGUGCAGUGCCCCAGGGAAGCCGUUAAGUUUGCCGCCUGGGAAGUACGUACGC